CCAUCACCACCCCGAUGGAGUCCCAAACUGAUAACUUCUUCAUCUUCCUCCUCCUCCUCAGCAAAGAAUAAUAACUUGGUAAUAAAGAGCCCAAGGAGCAGACCUUCACCAUCACCACCCCUGAUGGAGUCCCAAACUGAUGACUUCUUCAUCUUCCUCCUCCUCCUCAGCAAAGAAUAAUAACUUAGUAAUAAAGAGCCCAAGGAGCAGACCUUCACCAUCACCACCCCUGAUGGAGCCGAUGCCAAGUGCAGCUGUCUGAGGCUUGGUUCUGUGUGUGAGAGGUUCCUUACAGCAGCAAUUUGGGAAGUUGGUGUCUACCCCAGGACUGCAGGGAGCAGCAGCGCUGGGCUGCAGCGGAGCUCGCCCCGAGGAGGAGAAGAGGCUCUGCUUGGCUUCCUCCUGCGCCUGCCGGGAGCUGUGCGAGUGAGAGGGGCAGAGAGGGAGCAGUGCUCGCUGCACGCAGCUUGGGCCGUCGGAAGGGGAAGAUUCACUCCACCAAAAUCCAUCUCCUUCUGCUCACUCAGGGAAGAUCCAGAACACCAAAAUCCAUCUCCUUCUACUCACUUACAGAAGGUUCAGCACACCAAAAUCCAUCUC